rnacentral:rRNA from 1 species
AUGUUCGCUGCCCAGAGUCAAGCCCAAGCUAUCAAUACACGUAUUGAGCUCACAAAUCUUCAAAAAGGUAACAUGACUAUGGCCGAAUACCUUGGAAAGAUUAAAAGCCUUACCGAUGAAGUUGCCUGUACUGCUGCCGCGCUCUCCGAUCCGGAGAUCGUGUCAAAAAUCUUGGCCGGACUAGACAUGGAUUACAAUCCAGUCGUCUUGGCCCUUGCUGCCCGGGUUGAGCCCAUCACCGUUCAGGAGUUGUACAGUCAGCUCCUCAGCUUCGACACCCGCCUCAGUCUCCUUCAUGGCGCCAGCUUUCGCCAGUCCUCUGCCAAUGCCGCCUCGCAUGGACGCGGCCGUGGGCGCGGUCACCACGCGCAGCGUGGCGGUGGGCGUGGGCGUGGCAACGCUCAAGGCGACAGCGGCUACACCAACAACUACAACAACACCGGCGGCAGCAGCUACAACAACACCGGCAAUCGAUCAGGGGGUGGUGGCUUCAACAACAACAACAGCCACCGCCCUCCUCCUUCCUCCCGUGGUCGCCCUCGCUGUCAACUCUGCAAGAAGGCCGGCCAUGAGGUGAUGGACUGC